rnacentral:lncRNA from 1 species
GAUUGUUUGAAUUAAUCAGUUAAACGAUAAAAAGAAAAACAAGAAGAGGAAGUAAAAAUGAAUUUAAUACUUCUUACCGGCCGUGAGAAGUUUGUUUCUGUUUCGAAAUUUUAUUAUAAUCAACCAAUCUGCGCAUUGUGUAAAGUUAUACAUAACCUGUUUGUGACGUCACGACCGUCCGGCGUUGUCUUCAUUCAGAAGCAGAGUAAGCGAGUGCGGAAGGUGUUCUUUGAAAAUUGAUGAUGUGCUUUUGGAGAAAUAUCAUAUUUCUUCUUCUAUUGAAAAUUGCUCUAAGCCAAGAUUACGAGGAAGACCAACAAGAUGAGGGCGAUAAUUAUCAUAAAUUAUUAUCUUUAAACUUUGUUCACGACAUAGAAAACUACGAAAAACAAGAAAAUCUGUCGGAAAUACCCGAUCAGAGAAUUUUGAGAGAAGAAACGACAGAAGGUGACUUAAAUUUUAAAUACUUAUUUAUAAUAGAAUUUGUUUGAUAUUUUUAACUGACAUAUUUAUCUUUUUCUUGACAUAGUUAAUCGCUAUGUACUAUAAUGC